AUACGCGAGAACCCUUAGAAAUUUUAUGAAGCGAAACAUCGUAGUAAUAAAUAUAAAACAGAAUUCAACUGAGAUGUUAAAGUAACGGUGAGUGAACAAAAGUAGCUCAAAAAUUAAAAAAGAAGGCUGAACUAUUUGGAAAAGUUAGCCAUAGAGGGUGAUAGCCCCGUAAGCCUUU
rnacentral:rRNA from 1 species